GCAGAAACUUCUCCCAAACAUUAUCGGAAAGAGAGGCUGAUAAAAACUGCUUCGAAACAGCCGAUGAUCGGAGGACAUCACUCGGCGACGUCAACGAUAGGAUAUGUGAAAGACAUCCCUCAGCUCAAAUCCCAAACAAGCUUCUUCAGCCAGUUUCUUAGUGGAUUUGUGUAGUAUUAUCUAUUUAGAAUCAGAUCCUCAAAGUAGUAGGCAAAUUAAAGUAGUACUAAUGUUCUUUUUUUCUUUCUUUUUCCUCCUUGUAAUUUAACUGAUGCCAGAAAUAUCUUCUGCAGCAUCUUUGUGACUCAUAUUACCUUGACAUCUAAUAUGUGAUGUCAUAUAAAUUUUUUGAUGGAAUAAAGCAUAUGAUUGUAAUCUUGUAUAUGUUACAAUUAUCACUUUGAUCUACUUGUUUAGAGAUUAUCUAAAAGAUUGAAUGUUCUAUCUUCUAAGUAUAAUUUGAUUUAUUAAACAAUUACAAUCUGCAACAUUGGAUUGAUCAUCUUUAUCAUUGUAAACUUGUACAGGACAUAUUUUGUUGUGAUAUUUGUAGAAUGUACAUUACAAAUUAUGAUGAAGCAGCGCAAGAAACAGAGUUUUCAACUUCUAUAUAUGUUGGUUUAUUUAGGAGGUGGUGAGUGGAAUUUUUGAGACAGUAGAACCCCUAGUGUAAAUGAUAUAAUGGAAGCUAUGAGAAUUCCUUUGUUCUCAACGAUCUUCUCCAUUACAGAUGUUUGUGUGCUCUUUUCGCCUUGGCUUGAAUUUUCUUUCCCUUGGUCAUGUUCAUUCUGUCCUGUGUAUUUUGCUUCUUUGGGGAUGUCGGAUUUUCCGUUUUCCUCUUUGUUGGUGUCGUUGCCUAAAGCAGGACUCUCGCUUUGAUCCUUUUCCUUAUCCUUCUUGGUGUCAUUGAUUGGAGCAGCGGUCAUAACUUGUUUCUUCUCCUCCUCAGUACUGUAGCUGAGAGCAGAUGUGUUGACAUGAUCAUUUUUCUCCUCCUCAACGUUGUUGUCUGGAGCAAGGGUGUUAACUUGAUCAUUGUUCUCCUCCUCAACAUCGUUGCCUGGAGCAAGGGUGUUAGCAUGAUCAUUAAUCUCCUCCUCAACGUCGUUGCCUGAAGCAAUGGUGGCACCUUGAUCAUUAUUCUCCUCCUCAACGUCGUUGCCUGAAGCAAUGGUGUCGUUGUCUGGAGGCAGUGGAGCUAGUGUGUCAACUUGUUUGCCUUUGUCCUCCUCGGUGAUAACUUGUUUCUUCUCCUCUUCGGCAUUGUUGCUUGGAGCAGGUGUGCUGACGUGUUUCUCGUUCUCUUGCUUGGUGUUGUUGCUCAGAGGAUGGGUGUCUACUUGUUUUCUUUUCUCCUCCUUGAUGUUGUUGCUUGGAGCUAGGUUGUUAACUUGCUUCUUUUUCUCGUCCUCCUUGGUGUCGUUGCUUAAAGAUAGAGUGUUAACUUGUUUCUUUUUCUCCUCCUGUGUGUCGUUGCUUGAAGAUGGAAUGUUAGCUUGUUUCUUCUUCUCCUCCUCUGUUUCUUUGCUUGGAGCGAGGGUCUUAACCAUGGAGUCAUCAUUUAUGGUAUUGUUGCUUGACGCUUCAUUCGUGUUUGUUGGUUGUUCAUCUUUCUCUUUUACUACCCUUGGAACGCGUACUUUCAAUGUAACUCCUUCAAAUGUCAUAGUGAUGCCCUUGAUUUCUCCAUCUUGUGGAACAUUGAAGGUCUUCUCAAAGUGGACUUGUUUUUCCUCUCCUAUUUUCCGCCUUCCACUCAUUACUAUGGUUCCAGAAUCAUGGACUUGAAACUUAACAUCAUCUUUUUUAAAACCUAAAAAACAAAUACACGAUCCUUAGCUUAUUCAAAUCUAUUUCACGCAAAAUUUACAACAAAUUACACACACAAUAAAUUAACUAUUUGUGGGUUGUGAGCAAUAAUUGACCAUCUCAAUUCCUCGAUCCUACACUUGAAAGCACAAUGUCUAAUAUGAUGCAGGAUCAAAUGCGAGUUAACCAUUCAUUACAAAAAAUUGAUUUUGUGUUACAUUACAAGAAUAUGAUUGAAAGAAUAUGUAAUGAGCACAUGUACAAGAAGGAAAUGAAGUACGUGCUUCAUCUAACCUGGGAG